CAGUCACAUAGACUCAAGAAUUUGCACUCCAGAUUCCAGUGAGGUAGCCCCCCUCUUUCCAGUCACCAAUCAGACGGAACGAAGUCUGUUUAAGAGAUGAGCAAGCUUAUCUUGAAGACGCUAAGGAUGUUCUGGAAGUUGGAAUAAGCAGCAGGAUAAACUUUACUGACUGGACAUUGCUGCAUCUGAGAAAUCCUGUGACAUCCGACAAAAGCCGGCACAAAGUAGCAUUUAGUUAUCUAUACAAGCCAAUGCAUAGUGGGGAGCCUUAAGAAAGCCCUGAUGACAUCUCCUGCUUAUGCUGGCUCUGAGUGCUCACCACAGGAGGAAAAAGGGAGCACCCCCAUGGCAAACAGACAUGGUAAGCGCAAAUGUUAGCAAAACUGCCU
rnacentral:lncRNA from 1 species